rnacentral:rRNA from 1 species
CCAGAGAACUUAGCAGAGAUGCUUUGGUGCCUUCGGGAACUCUGAGACAGGUGCUGCAUGGCUGUCGUCAGCUCGUGUUGUGAAAUGUUGGGUUAAGUCCGCAACGAGCGCAACCCCUAUCCUUUGUUGCCAGCGAUUCGGUCGGGAACUCAAAGGAGACUGCCGGUGAUAAACCGGAGGAAGGUGGGGAUGACGUCAAGUCAUCAUGGCCCUUACGAGUAGGGCUACACACGUGCUACAAUGGCGCAUACAAAGAGAAGCGACCUCGCGAGAGCAAGCGGACCUCAUAAAGUGCGUCGUAGUCCGGAUUGGAGUCUGCAACUCGACUCCAUGAAGUCGGAAUCGCUAGUAAUCGUAGAUCAGAAUGCUACGGUGAAUACGUUCCCGGGCCUUGUACACACCGCCCGUCACACCAUGGGAGUGGGUUGCAAAAGAAGUAGAUAGCUUAACCUUCGGGAGGGCGUUUACCACUUUGUGAUUCAUGACUGGGGUGAAGUCGUAACAAGGUAGGCGUAGCGAG